rnacentral:rRNA from 1 species
AUUGAACGCUGGCGGCAGGCCUAACACAUGCAAGUCGAACGGUAACAGAAAGCAGCUUGCUGCUUUGCUGACGAGUGGCGGACGUGUGAGUAAUGUCCGUGAAACUGCCUGAUGGAGGGGGAUAACUACUGGAAACGGUAGCUAAUACCGCAUAACGUCGCAAGACCAAAGAGGGGGACCUUCGUGCCUCUUGCCAUCGGAUGUGCCCAGAUGGGAUUAGCUAGUAGGUGGGGUAACGGCUCACCUAGGCGACGAUCCCUAGCUGGUCUGAGAGGAUGACCAGCCACACUGGAACUGAGACACGGUCCAGACUCCUACGGGAGGCAGCAGUGGGGAAUAUUGCACAAUGGGCGCAAGCCUGAUGCAGCCAUGCCGCGUGUAUGAAGAAGGCCUUCGGGUUGUAAAGUACUUUAAGCGGGGAGGAAGGGAGUAAAGUUAAUACCUUUGCUAAUUGACGUUACCCGCAGAAGAAGCACCGGCUAACUCCGUG